CGGAGGAAAAGAAACUAACAAGGAUUCCCCUAGUAACGGCGAGUGAAGCGGGAAGAGCUCAAAUUUGUAAUCUGGCACUUUCAGUGUCCGAGUUGUAAUCUCGAGAAGUAUUUUCCGCGCCGGACCGCAUACAAGUCUGUUGGAAUACAGCGUCAUAGUGGUGAGAACCCCGUAACUGAUGCGGAUGCCCGGUGCUUUGUGAUAUACUUUCGAAGAGUCGAGUUGUUUGGGAAUGCAGCUCAAAUUGGGUGGUAAAUUCCAUCUAAAGCUAAAUAUUGGAGCAAGACCGAUAGCGAACAAGUACCGUGAGGGAAAGAUGAAAAGCACUUUGGAAAGAGAGUUAACAGUACGUGAAAUUGUUGGAAGGGAAACGCUUGAAGUCAGACUUGCUAUUCGGAGUUCAGCCGCAAGGUGUAUUCUUCGAUUUGCAGGCCAGCAUCAGUUUUUGGGGGUGGAAAAUCGUGGUUUGAAGGUAGCAGUUUCGGCUGUGUUAUAGCUUUCCACUGGAUUCAUCUUCGGGGACUGAGGAACGCAGUACGCUUUUUGCAAGGCUUUCGAGC
rnacentral:rRNA from 1 species